rnacentral:rRNA from 1 species
UGGGGAAUAUUGCACAAUGGGCGCAAGCCUGAUGCAGCCAUGCCGCGUGUAUGAAGAAGGCCUUCGGGUUGUAAAGUACUUUCAGUCGGGAGGAAGGUGGUAAGGUUAAUAACCUUAUCAAUUGACGUUACCGACAGAAGAAGCACCGGCUAACUCCGUGCCAGCAGCCGCGGUAAUACGGAGGGUGCAAGCGUUAAUCGGAAUUACUGGGCGUAAAGCGCACGCAGGCGGUUGAUUGAGUCAGAUGUGAAAUCCCCGGGCUUAACCCGGGAAUUGCAUCUGAAACUGGUCAGCUAGAGUCUUGUAGAGGGAGGUAGAAUUCCAUGUGUAGCGGUGAAAUGCGUAGAGAUGUGGAGGAAUACCAGUGGCGAAGGCGGCCCCCUGGACAAAGACUGACGCUCAGGUGCGAAAGCGUGGGGAGCAAACAGG